CACCCGAUUGGGAGGGGUUGCCUCUCCCUGUGUCCACACAUAUGCCUUGAGUUGCUCUUCAGUGAAUAUCACUUUUCCUUUCAUGUUUUUUCUACAUGCUAUUAUCUGUAUGAAAUGAAGACCAAGAAAGGAUGGGAAGAAGGAGAAGAAAAAUUUUGAUUUAUCUCAGAAACUAUACUCCGAAGUGAGAGUCCUGGUUGCAGCAUCCUUCACCGAAGCACGAAGCAGAAUCAAGCUGUUGCCAUGAAGCUUGUUUCAAGAGCUCAGAAAUACUCCAGGGACUCCUUUACUACUGCUUUUCAAAGAGGCCUUUUUUUCUCUCUUCUCCUUUUCCUGCAAAGAGGGUUAUAUCCAGUGCUCAAGGACAUGGGAUUAUCAGCCUAAGGCAUGAGUACAUGCUGUGGAAACAGAAAUAUGUAUGAAGGGAUGUAUGAAACCACAGAAUAAAUGGAAUCCACAUUCUUGAAGUAGCUACAACUCUACUUGAGGGAAAAUAAUGCUUGGCUUCAGGUAUUUGGAAAUACUGCACAUUCGGGCUAAGAAUGAGAUGACCAUUUUCUCAUUUUCAACUAAUUAUUUCAAGAUACCAAAACAAAACAAACAAAUGCCAUUGGUGAGUACCUGCUAUAUACAAAAUGAGCUGUAUGUAGUGAAGUGGCCAGGAAAGGCAGAGUUCACAGCCAUAGGUAGGGCAGGCCCUGGCCACCCUUUAGGGGAGCAAGAAAGGUAAACCAGGUGGAUGAAACAUAUCCUAUAGCAUAUUGUAAUUGGUAAGUGGAUGCAAGUGGUUUCUUAGCAAGUCAGAGGCAUCGGGCUGUCUAAAAGAGGUAAGAAGAUUAUACUGACAGAGAGGUGGAGCAAACAAUGAGGUGUCUGGGAGGAAGCAUUUGAAGAGCUGCAAGGAGGUCUGAUUUAUGGUAGAAAAACUGAGUCCCCAGGAACUGGGGAAGUGACUGGCAAGAAGAGGACAGGGCUUCUAGUCUAGAGGAAUCAAGGCAUAGGACAUAUUGCUUACCUAGAGAUUCAGUCAGGGGUAUGGGAUCCAGCCUGGGUAUAGUUUUUGGAAGGCUGCUUACUUGAUUGGGUUGGAGUGGGACUAACAGCAAGUGUGAUUUGAUGCUGACCCUUCAGUACUGGCCUGCGUAGCUUACAACAGUUACCCUGUCUAAGAAGGAGAUUGAUUCCAGAACCCAGAAUAAAGCAGAGAAUGCAGAUGGUGGUCACAUGGGUUCAGGUAAGGAGUAAGGAAAGUCACUGGCCCUUCUCCAAGUGCUGUGCAGGUGCAAAAGUUAUUUAAUUUUCUGUUUCUCUCUUGAAUGAAUAUGCUACCUAUUUGGUGGUAUAACACGUAAACUCAUUCAUAUUAAAUGUCAAUACAUGCUUUAAUGUUUUAAUCAAUAAAUGUACUAAAUAAUUUAAAUUUACAAGGGAUUUUGGAAACAGAUCCAACUUUAAGCAUGGCAGGAAAUUGAUAUUUGGACAAGGAAUGUUAGCACAUUCUUAGAUCAUACUCAGAUUUAAGGUAAGACUACUCUAUUUUUCAAACCAAUCUAGGUAUAUAAAACCAAAUCUAGUUAGAAUGAGAAUACUAAAUUAAACAUAAGUUUGUUAUUCAGAUAUUCCAUGUAGAACUGUGGGAUGAAGUGCAAUCAGCUGUGACUGGUUGGAAUAAGGACCUGCCUUAUCCCAUGGAGAGUUAGAGAAUCUGUUCCAACAAGGACAGAAGGUCCAGGUGGGAAGAGCUCUGGAAAACAAAACUCUCUGACAGCGCUCUUGAAAGCUCUGCUGGCAUCCCAAGGCACGUAGAUAGUACCUAUACAUCUCAUCAGGAACAUGGAUGGUUCUCUGCUAUCAGCUGAAGUGCUGUGACCACAAAACUGAAAAUUCCCAUUCUGUGUCCUUGCCAAUAAAGAAUGUCCAUCAGAGCACGCCCAGUAUCCUAGCUCCUUAUCCAGACUGUGCUUCUCAAUGUGACAAGGAAGACUGCAACCCUAUUUGCUUCUGAUAACCUUCCUAUGACUAAGCCUAUUCAGUGGAACGAUGAGGAUAAAGGCCUUUCUGAUGAUCCCCUUCCAUUUAAUAGUUUGAUGAUUAAGUUUAUUAAAUAAACUGACAGUGGACAGACUAACAGAAGAAAAGGCAUACAAAUGUAUUAUGUGCCUGAGGGCAUCAAAGGAAGGAAAA
rnacentral:lncRNA from 10 species